rnacentral:rRNA from 2 species
ACGUAGGUGGCAAGCGUUAUCCGGAUUUAUUGGGCGUAAAGCGAGCGCAGGCGGUUUGAUAAGUCUGAUGUGAAAGCCUUUGGCUUAACCAAAGAAGUGCAUCGGAAACUGUCAGACUUGAGUGCAGAAGAGGACAGUGGAACUCCAUGUGUAGCGGUGGAAUGCGUAGAUAUAUGGAAGAACACCAGUGGCGAAGGCGGCUGUCUGGUCUGCAACUGACGCUGAGGCUCGAAAGCAUGGGUAGCGAACAGGAUUAGAUACCCUGGUAGUCCAUGCCGUAAACGAUGAGUGCUAGGUGUUGGAGGGUUUCCGCCCUUCAGUGCCGCAGCUAACGCAUUAAGCACUCCGCCUGGGGAGUACGACCGCAAGGUUGAAACUCAAAGGAAUUGACGGGGGCCCGCACAAGCGGUGGAGCAUGUGGUUUAAUUCGAAGCUACGCGAAGAACCUUACCAGGUCUUGACAUCUUGCGCCAACCCUAGAGAUAGGGCGUUUCCUUCGGGAACGCAAUGACAGGUGGUGCAUGGUCGUCGUCAGCUCGUGUCGUGAGAUGUUGGGUUAAGUCCCGCAACGAGCGCAACCCUUGUUACUAGUUGCCAGCAUUCAGUUGGGCACUCUAGUGAGACUGCCGGUGACAAACCGGAGGAAGGUGGGGACGACGUCAGAUCAUCAUGCCCCUUAUGACCUGGGCUACACACGUGCUACAAUGGACGGUACAACGAGUCGCGAACUCGCGAGGGCAAGCUAAUCUCUUAAAACCGUUCUCAGUUCGGACUGCAGGCUGCAACUCGCCUGCACGAAGUCGGAAUCGCUAGUAAUCGCGGAUCAGCAUGCCGCGGUGAAUACGUUCCCGGGCCUUGUACACACCGCCCGUCACACCAUGAGAGUUUGCAACACCCAAAGUCGG